rnacentral:rRNA from 1 species
GACGAACGCUGGCGGCGUGCUUAACACAUGCAAGUCGAGCGGGGAUCGGAGACUUCGGUUUCUGAUUCUAGCGGCGGACGGGUGAGUAACGCGUGAGCAAUCUGUCCCAGACAGGGGGAUAACACUUGGAAACAGGUGCUAAUACCGCAUAAGACCACGACACCACAUGGUGAUGAGGUAAAAGAUUUAUUGGUCUGGGGUGAGCUCGCGUCCGAUUAGCUAGUUGGUGAGGUAACGGCCCACCAAGGCGACGAUCGGUAGCCGACCUGAGAGGGUGAUCGGCCACAUUGGAACUGAGACACGGUCCAA